rnacentral:rRNA from 1 species
GACGAACGCUGGCGGCGUGCUUAACACAUGCAAGUCGAACGGAAAGGCCUGCUUUCCCUUGUGGAUUGCGGGUACUCGAGUGGCGGACGGGUGAGUAACACGUGAGUGAUCUGCCCCCAACUUGGGUAUAAGCCUGGGAAACUGGGUCUAAUUCCCGAUAGGACUGCAGGGUGGUGCCUGUGGUGGAAAACGAUUUUCUAGUGGUUGGGGAUGAGCUCGCGGCCUAUCAGCUUGUUGGUGGGGUAAUGGCCUACCAAGGCGGCGACGGGUAGCCGGCCUGAGAGGGUGGACGGUCACAGUGGGACUGAGAUACGGCCCAGACGCCUACGGGAGGCAGCAGUGGGGAAUAGUGCACAAUGGGCGGAAGCCUGAUGCAGCGACGCCGCGUGGGGGAUGACGGCCUUCGGGUGGUAAACUCCUUUCGACCGCGAGGAAGCCACCUGGUUGGAAGGGUGGUGACGGUAGUGGUAGAAGAAGCACCGGCUAACUACGUG